rnacentral:lncRNA from 1 species
GCACAUAAUAUCUUAUAAUGUUUACAUGUUAACCAUACAAUCAACAGUACUAUAUCUUACAUUCACACAACAUUCAUGAAACACGUAGAAACUGGAUCAGAAAAGAGCUCACAAGUUAUAUUAAAUCCAUGGUAACAUGUCAUGCCAAUUUACACACAAUUCAUGGUACACAUAAGCUAAGAUGAAAUAAGUUUGGCCAAAAUGGUAGAUGUACUAGAGAGAUUCAGUUCCACAACCCAUAUCUAAUAGUUUGCUUCCACACUUUACAAAAUGAUCCACCUCUAGUGUCCAAACAAAAGUUUUCAUCUAUAGCUAGGAUGUCCAAAACACGCUGUCAUGAGCACUUUGAUCCAAUCAGUGGUUGCAGUCUACUCCUAGCUAUUUUCUCCCACCACCUGUAAAAAAAAGUUGAAGUUCAUUAGAAAAAAAACACAACCUAAAACUUCAAAAAAAAAAGCAUCAGUCAGUAGUCCGCACCACCACCACCACCAAGCACAAACUGCCAUCAGGUUUCCUAGUAAAAGUUUCAUGAGGGAAGUGUGAAACAUGUUACUUGUGCUAAUUAACCUAGAAACUAACAACUUUAGUAGGUUCAAGUAUAUAGCAGCAACACUACAAAUAUGAUUUUGACGAAUAGCAAUACAACAGGCUUUCUUGUCCAGGUGGAGAAAUCAAAGGCAAUAUAGUAAAAAAGUACAUAUUGCCUCUUGAACUGAAGCAUCUCAGGUCAGAAGAGAACACAAAACAAAGUACAUUCCUCCAGGAUUUCAUCUCAUUAUUUCACAAUGUAUUGUUAUAGGCAAGAGCUCAAACAUGAAAACACUACAAAGACCGGCGCGUCAUUGCCGCGCCUUGCUUGGAGGUGGCUAGCCCAAUGGAUUCUUUUAUUUGUCAUAGACAACUUUAGCUGUUGAUGGCUACUGUUCUAAGCAUGUUGUGUGGGCUGAUCAAAUUGGAUUAUAAUAAAAGAGGACAUUGUUAACAGAGAUAUUUCUUCUUUUAUUCUGAUUAUAGAUUCUUAUUUUUUUUUUGAACUAAAUGAACUUUCCUUUGAAUGGUAUUCAAGUGAAAGCACUCAACAAACAGAGUUUAAUUUGCCAUCUCAUUCACUGCUCUUUGAACAGACUCUUGUGGUCAGGGAAAAAGAACUGAAUUUGGACUUACCUCUUAAGUAGCUUUCCAUCAAUUGACAUAUGUCCAAAUAAAUAGUCACUGUAAAGCACUAAAAAAAUAUGUGCCAAGGCAUGUUCAGAAAAAUAAAAUGAUCCAACCGAGAGGUGCAUACAUCAGAUAUCCAUCAGAAUUUACUAGGGGGAACCAGAAGCAUAGUCCGUAAGUGAAGUUGUCGAGAGCUUUACCUGAUACUGCUCAGUCUAAUCCACGAGCUUGGUGAGGAGGCACCUGUAGCUGCUACGGAUUUUCUUAGGGCAAAGAUCCAAAGAGCACCUUCUUCUUGUACACCUCAGGCAACCACGACUACAACCUGCUGCUGCCUGCUGCAAUAGAGGAAAUUAUAGAUCCAUGAUUCAGUUAGUAAAAUGGAGGAAUCGGAGGGGAUGGAGCACCAUCCGCAUGAACUCAGAGGAGGUGGGGGCACUGCACACGAAGGAGACCAAGGUCACUUACGGGGGACGAAGGAAGGGGCGAGGUGAGGUCACCGGCGUCGUUAGGGUUUGCCGACGGGGGGAAGCAAGCCUAGAUCGCCGCUGGGAUGGAGAAGUCAAGCUGAGGGCACAGCCAGUCUACAGGGUGGUGGAGGGCGCAGCUCGUGCCGACGGUGGCGGGGGGCAUGGCUCGGUUUGUCACAGCGGCGGCAGGGGACGCAGCUCACGCCCGACGACGACAUGUUUCUUUUCCUCUUCGUGAAAUCGGGCGAGCAGGGUGGACUGGCGGCGCUUUGUGGUCUGUGCGUGUAGGGUUUGGGAAAGGGGUGAGCGGCUCACCAAAUGGGCUGCAGGAACGUCGGGCUGGAAUGGUGGGCUUCCAUUUUUUUGUUCUGACACAU